rnacentral:rRNA from 1 species
UACGAAGGGGGCUAGCGUUGCUCGGAAUUACUGGGCGUAAAGGGAGCGUAGGCGGACAUUUUAAGUCAGGGGUGAAAUCCCGGGGCUCAACCUCGGAAUUGCCUUUGAUACUGGGUGUCUUGAGUAUGAGAGAGGUGUGUGGAACUCCGAGUGUAGAGGUGAAAUUCGUAGAUAUUCGGAAGAACACCAGUGGCGAAGGCGACACACUGGCUCAUUACUGACGCUGAGGCUCGAAAGCGUGGGGAGCAAACAGG